rnacentral:rRNA from 1 species
AUUGAACGCUGGCGGCAGGCCUAACACAUGCAAGUCGAACGAGUGGCGGACGGGAGAGUAAUGUCUGGGAAAGUGCCUGGUGGAGGGGGAUAACUACUGGGAACGGUAGCUAAUACCGCAUACCAUCGGAUGUGCCCAGAUGGGAUUAGGGUGUGGGUGGGGUAAAGGCUCACCUAGGCGACGAUCCCUAGCUGGUCUGGGAGGAUGACCAGGCACACGGGAACUGAGACACGGUCCAGACUCCUACGGGAGGCAGCAGUGGGGAAUAUUGGACAAUGGGCGCAAGCCUGAUGCAGCCAUGCCGCGUGUAUGAAGAAGGCCUUCGGAUUGUAAAGUACUUUCAGCGAGGAGGCGUUACCCGCAGAAGAAGCACCGGCUAACUCCGUGCCAGCAGCCGCGGUAAUAC